rnacentral:rRNA from 1 species
UACGGAGGGUGCAAGCGUUGUCCGGAAUUAUUGGGUGUAAAGGGUGUGUAGGCGGGAUCGUAAGUCAGGGGUGAAAGGUCACAGCUUAACUGUGACAUUGCCUUUGAUACUGCGGUCCUUGAGUGUCGGAGGGGCCACUAGAAUUCGUGGUGUAGCGGUGAAAUGCGUAGAUAUCACGAGGAAUACCAGAGGCGUAGGCGGGUGGCUGGACGACAACUGACGCUGAGGCACGAAAGCGUGGGGAGCGAACAGG